UACAGAGGGUGCUAGCGUUGUUCGGAAUCAUUGGGCGUAAAGCGCGCGCAGGCGGCGGUGCUGGCCCGGCGUGAAAGCCCCCGGCUCAACCGGGGGAGGGUCGUCGGGGACCGCACCGCUUGAGGGCGGUAGGGGCUGGUGGAAUGCCUGGUGUAGUGGUGAAAUGCGCAGAUAUCGGGAAGAACACCCGUGGCGAAGGCGGUUCUCUGGGACGGUACUGACGCUGAGACGCGAAAGCGUGGGGAGCGAACAGG
rnacentral:rRNA from 1 species